rfam:Ictidomys tridecemlineatus contig016381, whole genome shotgun sequence.
AGGGUUGUGGCUCAGUGGUAGAGCUGCUUGCCUAGCAUGCAUGAAGCACAGGGUUAGACCCCCUGCACCACAU